AGAGUUUGAUUAUGGCUCAGGAUGAACGCUAGCGACAGGCUUAACACAUGCAAGUCGAGGGGCAGCAUAAAAGUAGCAAUACUUGGUGGCGACCGGCGCACGGGUGAGUAACGCGUAUGCAACCUACCUAUCAGAGGGGAAUAACCCGGCGAAAGUCGGACUAAUACCGCAUAAAACAGGGGCACCGCAUGGUGAUAUUUGUUAAAGAAAUUCGCUGAUAGAUGGGCAUGCGUUCCAUUAGGUAGUUGGUGAGGUAACGGCUCACCAAGCCGACGAUGGAUAGGGGAACUGAGAGGUUGGUCCCCCACACUGGUACUGAGACACGGACCAGACUCCUACGGGAGGCAGCAGUGAGGAAUAUUGGUCAAUGGGCGAGAGCCUGAACCAGCCAAGUCGCGUGAAGGAAGAAGGAUCUAUGGUUCGUAAACUUCUUUUGCAGGGGAAUAAAGUGCAGGACGUGUCCUGUUUUGUAUGUACCCUGAGAAUAAGGAUCGGCUAACUCCGUGCCAGCAGCCGC
rnacentral:rRNA from 1 species